rnacentral:rRNA from 1 species
GACGAACGCUGGCGGCGUGCUUAACACAUGCGAGUCGAACGGUGAAGCGCCUUCCUUUUUGGUGGGUGUGGAUGAGUGGCGAACGGGUGAGUAACACGUGAGUAACCUGCCCCCUUCUUCUGGAUAACCGCAUGAAAGUGUGGCUAAUACGGGAUAUUCUGGGUCUGUCGCAUGAUGGGUCUGGGAAAGAUAUUGUUUCGGUGGGGGAUGGGCUCGCGGCCUAUCAGCUUGUUGGUGGGGUGAUGGCCUACCAAGGCGGUGACGGGUAGCCGGCCUGGGAGGGUGGACGGUCACACUGGGACUGAGACACGGCCCAGACUCCUACAGGAGGCAGCAGUGGGGAAUAGUGCACAAUGGGCGCAAGCCUGAUGCAGCGACGCCGCGUGAGGGAUGGAGGCCUUCGGGUUGUGAACCUCUUUCGCCAGUGAAGCAGGCCUGCCUCGUUUGUGGGUGGGUUGACGGUAGCUGGAUAAGAAGCGCCGGCUAACUACGUG